rnacentral:rRNA from 1 species
AUUACAGCGGUGAGGCUACCGAACGUUGGAAACAGCGGUUAGGAGCUUACACCCACCCGUGUUUACAUACUAUUGUUGCUUUGGCGGGCCGUGGCCUCCACUGCGGGCUCUGCUCGUGUGUGCCCGCCAGAGGACCAAACUCUGAAUGUUAGUGAUGUCUGAGUACUAUCUAAUAGUUAAAACUUUCAACAACGGAUCUCUUGGUUCUGGCAUCGAUGAAGAACGCAGCGAAAUGCGAUAAGUAAUGUGAAUUGCAGAAUUCAGUGAAUCAUCGAAUCUUUGAACGCACAUUGCGCCCUGUGGUAUUCCGCAGGGCAUGCCUGUUCGAGCGUCAUUUAACCACUCACGCCUAGCGUGGUAUUGGGGCACGCGGUCUCGCGGCCCUCAAAAUUAGUGGCGGCGCCGGUGGGCUCUAAGCGUAGUACAUACUCCCGCUAUAGAGUUCCCCCGGUGGCUCGCCAGAACCCCCAAUUUUUUACAGGUUGACCUCGGAUCAGGUAGGGAUACGCCGUAU